rnacentral:rRNA from 1 species
UGCGCAGGCGGUGAUGUAAGACAGUUGUGAAAUCCCCCGGGCUCAACCUGGGAACUGCAUCUGUGACUGCAUCGCUGGAGUACGGCAGAGGGGGAUGGAAUUCCGCGUGUAGCAGUGAAAUGCGUAGAUAUGCGGAGGAACACCGAUGGCGAAGGCAAUCCCCUGGGCCUGUACUGACGCUCAUGCACGAAAGCGUGGGGAGCAAACAGGAUUAGAUACCCUGGUAGUCCACGCCCUAAACGAUGUCAACUGGUUCGUUGGGUCGUUCACUGACUCAGUAACGAAGCUAACGCGUGAAGUUGACCGCCUGGGGAGUACGGCCGCAAGGUUGAA